UACGUAGGGGGCAAGCGUUGUCCGGAUUUACUGGGCGUAAAGAGCGUGUAGGCGGCCACGCAGGUCCGUUGUGAAAACUGGAGGCUCAACCUCCAGCUGUCGACGGAAACCGUAUGGCUAGAGUCCGGAAGAGGAGAGUGGAAUUCCUGGUGUAGCGGUGAAAUGCGCAGAUAUCAGGAGGAACACCGGUGGCGAAGGCGGUUCUCUGGGCCUUACCUGACGCUGAGGAGCGAAAGCGUGGGGAGCGAACAGG
rnacentral:rRNA from 1 species